AUCUUGCUUCAGACCCCAUGGGGGAUGUUCCUCACAACUGCAGGUGGAGGAAGGAAGGAUUGUGUUAAUUAUUCCACAGACAAUGUGUCCUUCAAGAAACUAGAAGCAGCUGGGCUUCCAAACAUGAGACAGACAGUAGAAGAACCCAUUUACAAGCAGCAGCAGGAGCGGUAGAAACAGUGGUGCAGAGGAGACUUGAAGAAAAAGGGGCUUUGGCAUCCUGCAGAAGCAGAAAUAAUGGAACUGAAUUCCAAGAAGAGACUGACAUAUGGUGGAUGAUGACCACCACUACAGAUAGUGGUUGCAAAGCUGUAGCCAAUCUGAGUUCACUGCUUUGGCAGACCCUGCCAAUGUGAUGACAAGUAUAGAGGUCAGGGUCAAGAGCUCUUUAGGGUUGUGGGGACAGAGCAAGCCCUUGGCAUCCAUCUCGUGUUGACCAGUCAGGGAACAGGAGGGAAGUGGAAGCAAAUGUUGAUAAUGCUGUAACCAGUGGUCUGAAGAACUGAGGCCAACGUUGAGGGGAGCAUUCAGGAAAUUAAUACACUGUGAAUGUUUUAAUAAAGGUUUCAUCAUCAUUUCGGUAAUAGUAAGACCACAGAUCAGAAGACGACUGCCACUGAGAUGAUAAUUUGUUGCUGAUGAUUCCCAAGAGGAGAGGGUGCACCAUGCCAUGAGAGAAGGGUACAUGGAGAAGUUCAGUGGUGGUCAGGAGGCCGAGCAAGGAAGAAAUAUGGGCACGAGCCUUUGCUGUGGUUUCUGGGGGAAGGAACAGGUGAGGCAGGGUGAGCAGGGCAGAACUGGCUAGCUUGAAUCAUUUCAGGACUCUGGAGCAUAGGCGCUGCCCCUGGUCUUCUGGUACCUGGGGCAGAAAAAGAAAACAUUAAUACAGUGGGAG